rnacentral:tRNA from 2 species
GCGAGAGUGGCGGAACUGGCAGACGCACUGGACUUAGGAUCCAGCGGGCGAGAGCCCUUGAGGGUUCAAAUCCCUCCUUUCGCACCA